GCCGGGGUGGCGGAACAGGCAGACGCAGGGGACUUAAAAUCCCCCGAUCGUAAGAUCGUACCGGUUCGAUUCCGGUCCUCGGCACCA
rnacentral:tRNA from 3 species